GACGAACGCUGGCGGCGUGCUUAACACAUGCAAGUCGACUGAACUUAAGGUAGCAAUAUUUUAAGGGAGGUGGCGCACGGGUGAGUAACACGUAGGUAAUCUGCCUUUAGGACUGACAUAACCCAGAGAAAUCUGGGCUAAUAUCAGAUGAUGCAGCGGCUCGACAUCGAGACAGUUGUUAAACCUUCGGGGCCUAGAGAUGAGCCUGCGUCUGAUUAGGUAGUUGGCGGGGUAAUGGCCCACCAAGCCAUCGAUCAGUAGCUGGUCUGAGAGGAUGAUCAGCCACACUGGAACUGAGACACGGUCCAGACUCCUACGGGAGGCAGCAGUAAGGAAUAUUGCUCAAUGGCCGAAAGGCUGAAGCAGCAACGCCGCGUGGAGGAUGAAAUACUUUUGUAUGUAAACUCCUGUGAGAAGGGAAAAAUAUGCAGAUUUUCUGUGUUGAUUGUACCUUCAGAGUAAGCCCC
rnacentral:rRNA from 1 species